rnacentral:rRNA from 1 species
CCGGCACUCGUUAGGCUGAGCUGUGAUGGGGAGAGGAAAUUGUUUCCUCGAGUCGUUGAUUUCACACUGCCGAGAAAAGCCUCUAGAUAGAUAACAGGUGCCCGUACCGCAAACCGACACAGGUAGUCUAGAUGAGAAUUCUAAGGUGAGCGAGCGAACUCUCGUUAAGGAACUCGGCAAAAUGACCCCGUAACUUCGGGAGAAGGGGUGCUCUUUAGGGUUCACGCCCAGAAGAGCCGCAGUGAAUAGGCCCAAGC